rnacentral:lncRNA from 1 species
UUUAAAAUUUUAGAUUUCAAAUAUUAGAUUUUAAAUUUUAUACCCUUCUCCUCUCUCUCACUCAUUCUCUAUCUCUCUCUAUCUAAAUUUAAAGUUAAAUAUUUAAAAUUUAAAAGUUUUUAUUAUUUAAAAUGUAAAGCGAGUUAUUCGAUGCAUAUAAAUCUUUAGAAUUUAGGAAAAUUAGUAUUCAACAAAACCCUAUAUAAAAUUAUAUAUUCAAAAUAUAUAAACUGAAUUAAGAUAAAAUGUAUUUUCUAAAAUUUAAAUUUAAAUUUUUAAAUUGUAAAUUUCAAAUUUCAGGAUUUAAACAAAAGGGAGUUAGAAAGUUAAAUUUCAAAUAAAUUACAUAAAUUUUCUGCCGCGAAGCGCGGGCCUACACU